rnacentral:rRNA from 3 species
UAGGGAAUCUUCCACAAUGGACGCAAGUCUGAUGGAGCAACGCCGCGUGAGUGAGGAAGGUUUUCGGAUCGUAAAGCUCUGUUGUUGGUGAAGAAGGAUAGAGGCAGUAACUGGUCUUUAUUUGACGGUAAUCAACCAGAAAGUCACGGCUAACUACGUGCCAGCAGCCGCGGUAAUACGUAGGUGGCAAGCGUUGUCCGGAUUUAUUGGGCGUAAAGCGAGCGCAGGCGGAAUGAUAAGUCUGAUGUGAAAGCCCACGGCUCAACCGUGGAACUGCAUCGGAAACUGUCAUUCUUGAGUGCAGAAGAGGAGAGUGGAAUUCCAUGUGUAGCGGUGGAAUGCGUAGAUAUAUGGAAGAACACCAGUGGCGAAGGCGGCUCUCUGGUCUGCAACUGACGCUGAGGCUCGAAAGCAUGGGUAGCGAACAGG